GACGAACGCUGGCGGCGUGCUUAACACAUGCAAGUCGAACGCUGAAGCACCAGCUUGCUGGUGUGGAUGAGUGGCGAACGGGUGAGUAAUACGUGAGUAACCUGCCCUUGACUCUGGGAUAAGCCCGGGAAACUGGGUCUAAUACUGGAUGCUACAUGUCACCGCAUGGUGGUGUGUGGAAAGGGUUUACUGGUCUUGGAUGGGCUCACGGCCUAUCAGCUUGUUGGUGAGGUAAUGGCUCACCAAGGCGACGACUGGUAGACGGGCUGAGAGGGUAACCGGCCAGAGGGGGACUGGGCCACGGCCCAGACACCUGCGGGAGGCAGCAGUGGGGAAGAUUGCAAAAUGGGCGAAAGCAUGAUGCAGGGACGGCGCGUGAGGGAUGACGGCCUUCGGGUUGUAAUCCUCUUUUUUCAGGGAGGAUUCAAUGACGUGUACCUGAAGAAUAAGCAUCGGCUAACUCCGUGCCAGCCGCCGCCGUAAGAC
rnacentral:rRNA from 1 species